CAGUAGCCGCGGGAAUACGAAGGGGGCUAGCGUUGUUCGGAAUUACUGGGCGUAAAGGGCGCGUAGGCGGCCAUUCAAGUUAGAUGUGAAAGCCCUGGGCUCAACCUAGGAAUUGCAUUUGAUACUGUUUGGCUUGAGUUCGGGAGAGGUGAGUGGAAUUCCCAGUGUAGAGGUGAAAUUCGUAGAUAUUGGGAAGAACACCAGUGGCGAAGGCGGCUCACUGGACCGACACUGACGCUGAGGCGCGAAAGCGUGGGGAGCAAACAGGAUUAGAUACCCCUGUAGUCCCUGUCUCUUAUAC
rnacentral:rRNA from 1 species